GACAGGGGUCUCGAGCGUUAAUCGGAAUCACUGGGCUUAAAGGGUGCGUAGGCGGGCCUGUAAGUGUCCUGUGAAAUCCCCCGGCUCAACCGGGGAACUGCGGGGCAUACUCCGGGUCUUGAGGAAGGUAGGCGCCGAGGGAACAGUAGGUGGAGCGGUGAAAUGCGUAGAUAUCUACUGGAACGCCGAUGGUGAAGACGCUCGGCUGGGCCUUUCCUGACGCUGAGGCACGAAAGCGUGGGGAGCAAACAGG
rnacentral:rRNA from 1 species